AAUUCCCUGGAGAAGCUCCAGUGAGGCCACUCCCACUUCCGGGCGGAACCUGGCAGGGGCCACCUGACUCGCUAAAGAUGGCGGCGCCCAGGGAGGUGGCGUGAAAGUUGUGGAAAGUCGGAGUGGUGGCGUGCGUGAAUCAGAAGCAUGGAAGACUUAGGAGCCAUGUCGCGACUGAUCACGAAGAACCUCCCUAAUGGGGUGGAAUUCUGCAAGUCCUUUGGAGACCCAACGAAACCCUGAGCCUGGAGCAAACAUGCCCAGAAGUGCAACCAGCCCAAACAGUCACCACUAGACUCCAUUCUCUCAGACACUAUAAAAAUUGACAAAAAGAACAAGGUGCCCAGUGACCUGGAGCAGGUAUGGUGGCAUACAUCUUUGUAAUCCCAGCACUCAUGCAGGCGGAUCUCUGUGAGGGAGGCCAGCCUGGUCUACAAAGUCAGUUGCAGGACAGUCAGAGCUGUUACGCAGAGAUAUCCUGUCCUUAAAACAACAAUCCAAUAAGCAAAAUACAUGGGCCUCCACCGCAGGCUGCCUAGCGCUUUCGUGAGAACCAGAGUCAUGUGUUGGAGGCUCUUUAUGUUUUCACUGCCCUAAACAAGCUUGUUUGACCCGUCUGUACCUUCACCUGUGCUUGAUCACAUAGGUGGGAGGUACGUGAGGGGUGGGGAGAGAAUGGGUGUUGGGGGACAGGGAAACAUGUAGGCAGGAAAUACAUCAGGGUAUGUGCUUGCUCCUGAUUGGACCUUGUGGGGUUGCCUUUUUAAGCCUCUGCAAUGACUUGUGGUCAUUUUUCUGGGAACUCAGAAAUGGAUCUUGCUAGAGCCCAUCCAAUUGGCCCAUACUUAAUUAAAGCUUGCUUCAAAUUUGGCUUUACAGUAUGGUGGUGGCUUAUUCUUGACCAGUGGGAUUAACACGGUAUACGUUCAUUGAUCUUGUGAGGAAUUAGAGUUUAUAUUUAGUAGGGACUGUAAAAAUCGAAAUAAUUAUGAAAGCCAAGGUUACAUUUUAAGUUUUAAUUGCUAUGCCUAGGAGAUUCAAGAAACAAAAAUUGCCUCUAGUCUGCAAGCCCCUUGCUCAAGGACAGAGAGUUCCUGAAAUGCUGGAGGCGAUUGUUUAUGGGGUUAACAAGGAGGUUUUCACUUCUCUACAAAUUUGUUUCACCCUUCUCCUCCUGAUGUGCUUGAUCACCUGUGGGGAGAGGUUCGGAGGCAGGAAAAAGGUCAGGAUUUGAACCCUGGUUGGACUUGAUGGGAAAUUCGCUGGCCUACUCUUGGAUGCACCCCAAUAAAAAUCAAGCUUGCUUCAAA